AUUGAACGCUGGCGGCAUGCCUUACACAUGCAAGUCGAACGGCAGCACGGGAGCAAUCCUGGUGGCGAGUGGCGAACGGGUGAGUAAAGUAUCGGAACGUGCCCAGUCGUGGGGGAUAACGUAGCGAAAGGUACGCUAAUACCGCAUACGAACUAAGGAUGAAAGAGGGGGAUCGCAAGACCUCGAGCGAUUGGAGCGGCCGACAUCAGAUUAGGUAGUUGGUGGGGUAAAGGCUCACCAAGCCAACGAUCUGUAGCUGGUCUGAGAGGACGACCAGCCACACUGGAACUGAGACACGGUCCAGACUCCUACGGGAGGCAGCAGUGGGGAAUUUUGGACAAUGGACGCAAGUCUGAUCCAGCCAUUCCGCGUGCAGGAUGAAGGCCCUCGGGUUGUAAACUGCUUUUGUACGGAACGAAAAGGUCUCUCUUAAUACGGGGGACUCAUGACGGUACCGUAAGAAUAAGCACCGGCUAACUACGUGCCAGCAGCCGCCGCGG
rnacentral:rRNA from 1 species